GAUGUUAGAUGUUAGAUAUCUCAAUUCUCGCAUUAAUGAAAAAUGUAGCUAAGUGAGCUAUUUGAUGUAAAAAUUGUAGAAUUCAUGAACUAUAGAAUUUUUAAAAGUAACUUGUGUCCAAAGUCAUUAGGUUGAAGACGCGUUUAUCUGAAUGUCA
rnacentral:rRNA from 1 species